rnacentral:rRNA from 1 species
UACAGAGGUCCCAAGCGUUGUUCGGAUUCACUGGGCGUAAAGGGUGCGUAGGUGGUUGGGUAAGUCUGAUGUGAAAUCUCCGGGCUCAACCCGGAAAUGGCAUUGGAUACUAUUCGGCUAGAGGUUUGGAGGGGGGACUGGAAUUCUCGGUGUAGCAGUGAAAUGCGUAGAUAUCGAGAGGAACACCAGUGGCGAAGGUGAGUCCCUGGACAACACCUGACACUGAGGCACGAAAGCUAGGGGAGCAAACAGG